rnacentral:rRNA from 2 species
ACUCUGGUAUUGAUUGGUGCUUGCAUCAUGAUUUACAUUUGAGUGAGUGGCGAACUGGUGAGUAACACGUGGGAAACCUGCCCAGAAGCGGGGGAUAACACCUGGAAACAGAUGCUAAUACCGCAUAACAACUUGGACCGCAUGGUCCGAGUUUGAAAGAUGGCUUCGGCUAUCACUUUUGGAUGGUCCCGCGGCGUAUUAGCUAGAUGGUGGGGUAACGGCUCACCAUGGCAAUGAUACGUAGCCGACCUGAGAGGGUAAUCGGCCACAUUGGGACUGAGACACGGCCCAAACUCCUACGGGAGGCAGCAGUAGGGAAUCUUCCACAAUGGACGAAAGUCUGAUGGAGCAACGCCGCGUGAGUGAAGAAGGGUUUCGGCUCGUAAAACUCUGUUGUUAAAGAAGAACAUAUCUGAGAGUAACUGUUCAGGUAUUGACGGUAUUUAACCAGAAAGCCACGGCUAACUACGUGCCAGCAGCCGCGGUAAUACGUAGGUGGCAAGCGUUGUCCGGAUUUAUUGGGCGUAAAGCGAGCGCAGGCGGUUUUUUAAGUCUGAUGUGAAAGCCUUCGGCUCAACCGAAGAAGUGCAUCGGAAACUGGGAAACUUGAGUGCAGAAGAGGACAGUGGAACUCCAUGUGUAGCGGUGAAAUGCGUAGAUAUAUGGAAGAACACCAGUGGCGAAGGCGGCUGUCUGGUCUGUAACUGACGCUGAGGCUCGAAAGUAUGGGUAGCAAACAGGAUUAGAUACCCUGGUAGUCCAUACCGUAAACGAUGAAUGCUAAGUGUUGGAGGGUUCCGCCCUUCAGUGCUGCAGCUAACGCAUUAAGCAUUCCGCCUGGGGAGUACGGCCGCAAGGCUGAAACUCAAAGGAAUUGACGGGGGCCCGCACAAGCGGUGGAGCAUGUGGUUUAAUUCGAAGCUACGCGAAGAACCUUACCAGGUCUUGACAUACUAUGCAAAUCUAAGAGAUUAGACGUUCCCUUCGGGGACAUGGAUACAGGUGGUGCAUGGUUGUCGUCAGCUCGUGUCGUGAGAUGUUGGGUUAAGUCCCGCAACGAGCGCAACCCUUAUUAUCAGUUGCCAGCAUUAAGUUGGGCACUCUGGUGAGACUGCCGGUGACAAACCGGAGGAAGGUGGGGAUGACGUCAAAUCAUCAUGCCCCUUAUGACCUGGGCUACACACGUGCUACAAUGGAUGGUACAACGAGUUGCGAACUCGCGAGAGUAAGCUAAUCUCUUAAAGCCAUUCUCAGUUCGGAUUGUAGGCUGCAACUCGCCUACAUGAAGUCGGAAUCGCUAGUAAUCGCGGAUCAGCAUGCCGCGGUGAAUACGUUCCCGGGCCUUGUACACACCGCCCGUCACACCAUGAGAGUUUGUAACACCCAAAGUC